ensembl:lncRNA
AGGCUGUGCAAAAGUUUGAUUCUAUGGUCAGUGAGACAUUUUUGUGUGGAUUCGAAGGUGUGUUUUGAAUUGUUGUCGUGCUGGAAGUUAUGUCAACAACCCAGUUUUAGCCUCCUGGCAGGGGCAGACAGGAUUUGGAAAAAAAUCUGGUACUUGAUGGAGUCCAUGUUGGAAUGUAUCCUAACAUGUUUCCCAGGGACAUAUGGAAGUCAAACAGCCCCACAACAUCACGGAUCCACCACCACUCUUCAACAUCACAGAUCCACCACUAUACUUCAACAUCACAGAUCCACCACCACUCUUCAACAUCACAGAUCCACCACUAUACUUCAACAUCACAGAUCCACCACCACUCUUCAACAUCAAAGAUCCACCACCACUCUUCAACAUCACAGAUCCACCACCACUCUUCAACAUCACAGAUCCACCACCACUCUUCAACAUCACAGAUCCACCACCACUCUUCAACAUCACAGAUCCACCACUAUACUUCAACAUCACAGAUCCACCACCACUCUUCAACAUCACAGAUCCACCACUAUACUUCAACAUCACAGAUCCACCACCACUCUUCAACAUCAAAGAUCCACCACUAUACUUCAACAUCACAGAUCCACCACCACUCUUCAACAUCAAAGAUCCACCACCACUCUUCAACAUCACAGAUCCACCACCACUCUUCAACAUCACAGAUCCACCACCACUCUUCAACAUCACAGAUCCACCACUAUAGAUCCACCACAACAUCACAGAUCACUCAGUAAGAGCAAAUGGCUCUUACUGAGUGAGUUGGUGAGUGAGUGCCUGACUGACUGCUGACCAACUACCCGUUGUUAAAUAGCGUAGUGGUUAGAGACGCGGACUGACACGUAGGCGACCAGUGUUCGCUCCUCGCCACAGACAAAACAAAUCGGGCAUUAGGAUUUGUUCAGGAUUGACUAAAAUCUCGCUGCCUUUUAGCUUCAGUAGCUACAUUAUAGUAAGUCUAAAAUUAAAAAAAUCACAGUUCUAUUGUGAUGGACGAACUGUACCGAC